rnacentral:rRNA from 1 species
AACAGGGAUUACCUCAGUAACGGCGAGUGAAGCGGUAACAGCUCAAAUUUGAAAUCUGGCUCUUUCAGGGUCCGAGUUGUAAUUUGUAGAAGAUGCUUUGGGUGUGGCUCCGGUCUAAGUUCCUUGGAACAGGACGUCAUAGAGGGUGAGAAUCCCGUAUGUGACUGGCUGCCUUCGCCUAUGUAAAGCUCUUUCGACGAGUCGAGUUGUUUGGGAAUGCAGCUCUAAAUGGGAGGUAUAUUUCUUCUAAAGCUAAAUAUUGGCCAGAGACCGAUAGCGCACAAGUAGAGUGAUCGAAAGAUGAAAAGCACUUUGGAAAGAGAGUUAAACAGUACGUGAAAUUGUUGAAAGGGAAGCGCUUGCAACCAGACUUGCAUGCCGUCAAUCAUCCUGGGUUCUCCCUGGUGCACUCGGCGGCGUUCAGGCCAGCAUCGGUUUCGGUGGUUGGAUAAAGGCCUUGGGAAUGUAGCUCCUCUCGGGGAGUGUUAUAGCCCUCGGUGCAAUGCAGCCUACCGGGACCGAGGACCGCGCUUCGGCUAGGAUGCUGGCGUAAUGGUUGUAAGCGACCCGUCUUGAAACACGGACCAAGGAGUCUAACAUCUAUGCGAGUGUUUGGGUGUUAAACCCAUACGCGUAAUUAACGUGAACGGAGGUGAGAACCCUUUAGGGUGCAUCAUCGACCGAUCCUGAUGUCUUCGGAUGGAUUUGAGUAAGAGCAUAGCUGUUGGGACCCGAAAGAUGGUGAACUAUGCCUAAAUAGGGUGAAGCCAGAGGAAACUCUGGUGGAGGCUCGCAGCGGUUCUGACGUGCAAAUCGAUCGUCAAAUUUGGGUAUAGGG